rnacentral:misc_RNA from 1 species
GUGACUUUGCCCUCGUCUCCGCCGCCGUCGCCGCCGAGUUUAAAUUCAAUGGCCGGACGAGGUCGCAUGCCGCGGCAGCCUUUCGAUGAUGGCCGGCGAGGCUUUCCCGAUGGGCCGUACUCUCGCGGCCCUCCUCGCGGACAUCCGGCGCAACUCGAAGAAGAAAUUGAGAUCCGGAAUGCUGAUAUCCGCCGUCUCAUAGCUGACAACACCCGGCUGUCCGAGGAUCGCCAGAUUCUGCAGCGAGAGUUGGCCGCUGCGAGGGAUGAGAUUCAUCGCCUGAAUUUUGUGAUUAAGGAUAUUCAGGCUGAGAGGGAAGCGCAGAAUAGGGAAAUGAUU